UACGUAGGGUGCGAGCGUUGUCCGGAAUUAUUGGGCGUAAAGAGCUCGUAGGCGGUCUGUCGCGUCGAAUGUGAAAAUCCGAGGCUCAACCUCGGACUUGCAGUGGGUACGGGCAGACUAGAGUGUGGUAGGGGAGACUGGAAUUCCUGGUGUAGCGGUGGAAUGCGCAGAUAUCAGGAGGAACACCGAUGGCGAAGGCAGGUCUCUGGGCCAUUACUGACACUGAGAAGCGAAAGCAUGGGGAGCGAACAGG
rnacentral:rRNA from 1 species